GUCCCUAUAGCGCAAUGGAUAGCGCGUUGGACUUCUAAUCCAAAGGUCAUGGGUUUGAAUCCCACCUGGGAUG
rnacentral:tRNA from 1 species